rnacentral:lncRNA from 1 species
CAAGAACUUUCUUUUCUGGGUCUUUAAUAGAUGUGGCUAGAACACCUGCAGGAUGUCUCUCAUGAUAAAGACUAUGGGCUCUGGAAUGGAAGCUUUCUUAUCCGCAAGGCUCUUGGGUUCAGGGUCCUAGCUUGUCUCUGUUAGAGUCUAAGGGGAAAUUAUGGCCAAGGUGGGGUAUGGGUAAUGAUUUGACUUACCUAGAACAUGCUAUUUUCUAUCUCUCUCUCAGGAUACCUUGCUGCUUUGAUGGAUUUCCUUGCUAUGUGUGUAGCAGCUGGUGGAGUUGUCCGGAAUUGGUCAAAUAUCACUUUACUGGGUGGCUGCUGAAGCAUGAUCACAAGACAUUCAGAAUGACGGAUGAGUGCCUCUCAGGUCUCAGGAGUUUCAUAUGUUUGUGGAGCAAUUUGUGCGUAGGAAGACGAAAUGAAGCUGCCCAUUCUCUACUGUGAUCUGUACAUUUCAGGUACUACACAUGAUUCUUCCUCACCUUACUGCAAACCAAAGCAUGAAUUCUAAAAGUAGCUGAAUAAGAGGUACAUGCUUGUUAAAUAUGAACACUUAGUGAUUACAACUUGAUGAGAGACAUUUAAGAGGGGGGGAAAGCACUAUAUGUUCUGGUAAUA